UACGUAGGGUGCGAGCGUUGUCCGGAUUUAUUGGGCGUAAAGGGCUCGUAGGCGGCGUGUCGCGUCGGGAGUGAAAGCCCGCUGCUUAACGGCGGGUUGGCUUCCGGUACGGGCAUGCUGGAGUGUGGCAGGGGAGACUGGAAUUCCUGGUGUAGCGGUGAAAUGCGCAGAUAUCAGGAGGAACACCGAUGACGAAGGCAGGUCUCUGGGCCACUACUGACGCUGAGAAGCGAAAGCAUGGGGAGCGAACAGG
rnacentral:rRNA from 1 species